rnacentral:lncRNA from 1 species
CGACAUCCAAUCAGGGCUGGCCAGAGGAGUUUGGCUUUCAGCUGGGAGGAAGUGGUCCUAGCUACAUCCUGUCUGUGGAGGAGGGGAGCAGUGCCUACCUGGCGGGCCUGCAGCCAGGUGACCAGGUGCUGGAGAUCGAGGGCCAGAAUGUGUCCACUCUGGGAGUCCAGGCUGUCAUCUCCAUCGCUCAGACCCAGAGGAACAUCCCUCCCAGCAUCGGAGUGGUGUCUCGCAUCCAGCAGAUGGACAUCACCCCGGGUCCUGACGGUCGGUUUGGCUUCACCAUCGUAGGAGACUGCCCCCUCCUGGUGGAGGACUGUUCCCCCUGCUCUCCGGCGGGACGGGGUGGCCUGCGGGCCGGUGACUACGUCAUGGAGGUCAACGGGAUCCCAGUGAGGCAGCACGAGAUGGCGGCAGCACUGAUCAAGGCGUCCCAGGGGCGUACGCUGAGGCUGGGGGUGCUGUGUCUGGGGCCCAGACAGAAAGUACGCAGCAGUGGGAGUAUGGAUGGGAUACAGUCUGGGGGAGACGGGAUGAGGAAGGACCGCAAACACAAGGCCCUGGAGUUCAACAGGAAGAUUGACCAGAUUUUGGGGGAGGAGCCUGAGGUGAAGGAGAGGCUGUUUGCGGUGCUGAAGCAGUAUGCUGCGGAGAAGAAGGUUGAUUGGCUGGCCUCUGUCCUCCCAGACAUCCUCACCACUGACGAGCAGCAGAUGCUCAUCGGCAACAUCAGGUACCAGAGUCUCUGCUUUCUGGGUAUCAUCCAGACUGUGUUCAGUAUAUGCUCUACCACCUGUACUCCAUUGUGAACAUCACUCAGGCCCACGGAGAUGUACAUGAAAUCCUUAUUCCCAUUUAGACACCCUAGUACAGCCCAGGUGGGAUGCAGCCUUCUACAAUCCCCAUUUCAGAGUCCCAGUGAAAAGUUAGUGUGCGAUGGGUGAUGAGUGUUUAUGAGUGGGUGAUGAGUGAUGAGUGGGUGAUGAGGCUUUUCCUUUUGCUCAUUUUGCUGGUGGAGGGAUUUACGGGGGGUCUUAAUUAGUGUCAACCAUUAUCACACUGUGCUUUAGGUGGACG